UACGUAGGUUGCAAGCGUUGUCCGGAAUUAUUGGGCGUAAGGAGCGUGUAGGCGGCCAGGUAGGUCUGCUGUGAAAACUCGAGGCUCAACCUCGAGACGUCGGCGGAAACCAUCUGGCUAGAGUCCGGAAGAGGAGAGUGGAAUUCCUGGUGUAGCGGUGAAAUGCGCAGAUAUCAGGAAGAACACCCGUGGCGAAGGCGGCUCUCUGGGACGGUACUGACGCUGAGACGCGAAAGCGUGGGGAGCGAACAGG
rnacentral:rRNA from 1 species